GACGAACGCUGGCGGCGUGCUUAACACAUGCAAGUCGAACGGACAGGCCCUGCGUUUGUGGCGUGCUCGAGUGGCGAACGGGUGAGUAACACGUGAGUAACCUGCCCUUGACUUUGGGAUAACUUCAGGAAACUGCGGCUAAUACCGGAGAGGAGCUCCUGCUGCAUGGUGGGGGUUGGAAAGUUUCGGCGGUUGGGGAUGGACUAGCGGGUUAUCGGCUUGUUGGUGGGGUAGUGGAUUACCAAGGCUUUGACGGGUAGCCGGCCUGGGAGGGUGACCGGCCACCAUGGGACUGAGAUACGGACCAGACUCCUACGGGCGGCAGCAGUCGGGAACAUUGCACAAUGGCGGGAAGCCUGAUGUAGCAACGCCGCGUGCGUGAUGACGUGCUACGGGUGGUAAACAGCUUUGGCCUGAAACGAAGCGUGAGUGACGGUAAUGAGUAAAAAAGCACCGGCUAACUACGUG
rnacentral:rRNA from 1 species